AAGUGAAAGUGCACACUAAUCUUUUUUUAAACAUUUUAUAAUACCAAAACUUUCCAAAUUAACCACAUAUGCUCUUCCAGUCCCACCUCUAACUCUCCCUGAAAUAAUCCCUCUGAAUUAAUAUAUUUCUUAACCUAAAACACUGUUAAACAAUUAUUAGUUCCUCAGUAAUACUAAAAAUCAGAGGAAAACAGCAUCAUUAGUAUAAUAGCUUAAAAUUAUAACCUUUCAACACAGUACAGGGUUUAGUGUUACAAGUUAUUUCCAAUUUAAUUGAUGGACUGAAUUAUGAAACUGAACAGGGCACUCAUCUACAACACUAGACACUCUGAGCUGACACGGAGUCUGAUCAAACUAAUACUGUAAAUGAUUAAGAAAAUGUACAACAAUAUUUUUAGGAAAUCUAUUCAGUCUAGAGAAUAUAAUUUCCUUUACAAAGAGUAUCAAAUAUAUGAACAUAAAAUGCUAUUUAUUCC
rnacentral:lncRNA from 1 species